UACGUAGGGUGCAAGCGUUUGUCCGGAAUUAUUGGGCGUAAAGAGCUCGUAGGUGGCCUGUCGCGUCGGCUGUGAAAACUCGGGGCUCAACUCCGAGCUUGCAGUCGAUACGGGCAGGCUAGAGUUCGGCAGGGGAGACGUGGAAUUCCGUCGGUGUAGCGGUGAAAUGCGCAGAUAUCAGGAGGAACACCGGUGGCGAAGGCGGGUCUCUGGGCCGAUACCGACACUGAGGAGCGAAAGCGUGGGGAGCGAACAGG
rnacentral:rRNA from 1 species